rnacentral:tRNA from 1 species
GCAGGGUCAGCUAAAAAAGCUUUUGGGCCCAUACCCCGAAAAUGUUGGUUCAACACCUUCCUCUGCU